rnacentral:tRNA from 1 species
GCCUUCAUGUUGGAAUUGGUAGACAAGAGGGACUUAAAAUCCCUUGGACUGAAAGUCCGUAUGAGUUCGACUCUCAUUGGAGGCA